AGAGACAGAGAGUGUGAGUGAUGGUAGCAGGGGAUGUUCAGGGAUAGAGACAACUGGAGUGAGAGACUUCAGUAGAGGUCUGCUGAGGCAAGAUAUGGCUGCUGGCAGUGAGUGUACUCCAGAAACCCUGAGAAGUUACUACAGUGAAGAGAGUACUAUAGAAUCUGAGCACCUGAAUCUGAGCACCUUCUAAAAGUGCACAGAUAAGGAGGAAAACUAUUGGGCCAGAUUGCCACCUACUACAAGAUGUAUGAAAGAUCACGACCAUCCAGGUGGAGCUCCCUUAUCCCUAGCAGCAUGGCUCCACUAGCCUACAGCACCUAUUCCAGCUACAAUAUCCUUAGCAUAUGUAAUGUGGCAUGUCACUUCACCAUUUAUACAAUUGCCUCUCUGUAUAAAAGUGAAUGAAACUUAUGUUCAAAUUUGCUCUGGAAAACUGUACAUAUGGCAAAGCUCAAGUGAAAAUCUUACCAAGUGCCAAUAACACUAAGUCCUGGACUAUGGGAAAUAUAUAUCUAUUACCUGGCUUGCUUGUUUGUCUGCAUGCCAAGAAGCCUGAACGUACAUCCCAUAAUGUUUGGAUGCAUUGCAAACAAAUGUCAAAGCAAGCAUUAUACCCUCUGCUAAUGUACGUUUUCAGGUCAACAAUGUGAUGUUUGAAAAGAUUAAUCCCUUGCUGAGUAAUAUUCAU